CCUACGGGGGGCUGCAGUCGAGGAUCUUCGGCAAUGGGCGCAAGCCUGACCGAGCGACGCCGCGUGGGCGAUGAAGGCCUUCGGGUUGUAAAGCCCUGUCGAGGGGGAGAAAGGGAAACUUGAUCUAUCCCUGGAGGAAGCACGGGCUAAGUUCGUGCCAGCAGCCGCGGUAAGACGAACCGUGCGAACGUUGUUCGGAAUCACUGGGCUUAAAGGGCGCGUAGGCGGGCCGCCAAGUCUGUGGUGAAAUCCCCCGGCUCAACCGGGGAACUGCCGUGGAUACUGGAGGUCUCGAGGGAGGUAGGGGCAUGCGGAACUACGGGUGGAGCGGUGAAAUGCGUUGAUAUCCGUAGGAACUCCGGUGGCGAAGGCGGCGUGCUGGACCUUUUCUGACGCUGAGGCGCGAAAGCCAGGGGAGCGAACGGGAUUAGAUACCCUAGUAGUC
rnacentral:rRNA from 1 species